UACGGGGGGAGCAAGCGUUGUUCGGAUUUACUGGGCGUAAAGGGCGCGUAGGCGGCGUGACAAGUCACUUGUGAAAUCUCCGGGCUUAACUCGGAACGGUCAAGUGAUACUGUCGGACUAGAGUACAGAAGGGGCAACUGGAAUUCUCGGUGUAGCGGUGAAAUGCGUAGAUAUCGAGAGGAACACCUGCGGCGAAGGCGGGUUGCUGGGCUGAUACUGACGCUGAGGCGCGGAAAGCGUGGGGAGCGAACAGG
rnacentral:rRNA from 1 species